GUGACGCGCUGGAUGCCCUGGGUCUGAAACGCUACUGCUGCCGCCGGAUGCUCCUGUCCCACGUGGAUCUCAUUGAGAAGCUGCUAAACUAUGCUCCUCUAGAGAAGUAGUGGGGCCUGGCUAUGGGGAGGAGCACUAGGAAGGCCUCAUCCCCACCUGCCACCAUUUACCUGACCUGAGGAAAGCACCCAGAUCGAUGGCAUCCCCCACCCCCAUGGCUUUGAAAGGGGGAACCUGCCAGCUGGAGACCCAGCACCUCUGGCCUGCCCCAGAGCAGCUCAGCCUCCUGCUGUCUAAAGGCAAUAAGGAAGCAGCAAGAGUUCUGCCCUCUCUCUUCCUCUCUUGUGUGACUCCAAGAGUUGGAGCUUCAAGGGGAAAUACACCCCUGGAUACCACCAACCUCAAAGGACUAGUGUCAGUGAAACUGAGCAGAGAAGAGAUGCCAGAUACCUACGUGACCACAGGGUCUUUGCAAGGCUGCAGUGAGAGGCAGCAGCAGUCAAAAUCCUUGAUGGCAUCUCGGCUCAGCCGCACAUUCUGGGUACCGUAACCGGAGGCAGCUACCAAAGGAAAGGGUC